GUUCUCGUGGCCUAGUGGUUGUGGCGUCUGUCUUACAUAAUAUACCAAUUGGAACACAGAAGAUCGCCGGUUCGAUCCCGGCCGAGAACA
rnacentral:tRNA from 1 species